GACGUAGGGGGCCAGCGUUGUUCGGAAUUACUGGGUGUAAAGGGUUCGUAGGCGGUGCGGCAAGUCGGGAGUGAAAUCUCUGGGCUUAACCCAGAGGCUGCUUCCGAAACUGCUGUGCUUGAGUGUGGGAGAGGCGCGUGGAAUUGCAGGUGUAGCGGUGAAAUGCGUAGAUAUCGGGAGGAACACCAAUGGCGAAGGCAGCUCGCUGGGACGGUACUGACGCUGAGGCGCGAAAGCUGGGGGAGCAAACGGG
rnacentral:rRNA from 1 species